AGAGUUUGAUCCUGGCUCAGGAUGAACGCUGGCGGCGUGCUUAAUACAUGUAAGUCGGACGGUAGGACAGCAAUGGACUAUAGUGGCGAACGGGUGAGUAACGCGUGGGUGACCUGCCCCGAAGUGGGGGAUAACAGCUCGAAAGGGCUGCUAAUACCGCAUAAUAUCUACAUGGUUAGAGAAUGUAGAGGAAAGCCUUAGGGCGCUUUGGGAGGGACCUGCGACCCAUCAGCUAGUUGGUAAGGUAGAAGCUUACCAAGGCGACGACGGGUAGGGGGCCUGAGAGGGUGACCCCCCACACUGGCACUGAAACACGGGCCAGACACCUACGGGUGGCAGCAGUAGGGAAUAUUGCACAAUGGGCGAAAGCCUGAUGCAGCAACGCCGCGUGCACGAUGAAGGCCUUCGGGUCGUAAAGUGCUUUUCUGCAGGACGAGGAAGGACGGUACUGUAGGAAUAAGGAUCGGCUAACUACGUGCCAGCAGCCGCGGUAACACGUAGGAUCCGAGCGUUAUCCGAAUUCACUGGGCGUAAAGCGCUUGCAGGCGGCUGGAUAAGUUGGAUGUAAAAUCUCCUGGCUCAACUGGGAGGGGCCGUUCAAGACUGUUCAGCUAGAGGGCAAUAGAGGGAGGUGGAAUUCCAGGUGUAGUGGUGAAAUGCGUAGAUAUCUGGAGGAACACCAGUGGCGAAAGCGGCCUCCUGGAUUGCAUCUGACGCUCAGAAGCGAAAGCUAGGGGAGCGAACGGGAUUAGAAACCCCGGUAGUCCUAGCCGUAAACGAUGUAGACUGGGUGUAGGUGGAGUAAAAUCUAUCUGUACCGAAGCGAACGCGAUAAGUCUACCGCCUGGGGACUACGCUGCAGUUAAACUCAAGGAAUUGACGG
rnacentral:rRNA from 1 species